rnacentral:rRNA from 1 species
UACAGAGGGGGCAAGCGUUGUUCGGAAUUACUGGGCGUAAAGGGCGCGUAGGCGGCCUUCUAAGUCGAACGUGAAAUCCCCGGGCUCAACCCGGGAACUGCGUCCGAUACUGGGAGGCUUGAAUCCGGGAGAGGGAUGUGGAAUUCCAGGUGUAGCGGUGAAAUGCGUAGAUAUCUGGAGGAACACCGGUGGCGAAGGCGGCGUCCUGGACCAACACUGACACUGAGGAGCGAAAGCCAGGGGAGCAAACGGGG